CCUACGGGGGGCAGCAGUGGGGAAUAUUGGACAAUGGGGGCAACCCUGAUCCAGCCAUGCCGCGUGUGUGAAGAAGGCCCUCGGGUUGUAAAGCACUUUCAGUGAGGAAGAACGCCUGGUGGUUAAUACCCAUCAGGAAAGACAUCACUCACAGAAGAAGCACCGGCUAACUCCGUGCCAGCAGCCGCGGUAAUACGGAGGGUGCGAGCGUUAAUCGGAAUUACUGGGCGUAAAGCGCGCGUAGGUGGCUUGAUAAGCCGGUUGUGAAAGCCCCGGGCUCAACCUGGGAACGGCAUCCGGAACUGGCAAGCUAGAGUGCAGGAGAGGAAGGUAGAAUUCCCGGUGUAGCGGUGAAAUGCGUAGAGAUCGGGAGGAAUACCAGUGGCGAAGGCGGCCUUCUGGACUGACACUGACACUGAGGUGCGAAAGCGUGGGUAGCAAACAGGAUUAGAUACCCCUGUAGUC
rnacentral:rRNA from 1 species